rfam:Xiphophorus maculatus strain JP 163 A Contig453.8, whole genome shotgun sequence.
CGCCGGCGGUUCCUCUUCCUGUUUGCAGCCCAGCAGGAGGAUUUACGCCGUCGCAGAGAAACCGGGUCGUUUUCACCCGGGAAGCUCCGGGCUCUGGCCCAAACCCAACAGCUUCCCGGUUUUGCGGGACCCGACAAUC